UACGGAGGAUGCAAGCGUUAUCCGGAAUGAUUGGGCGUAAAGGGUCCGCAGGUGGCAGUGUAAGUCUGCUGUCAAAGAAUGAGGCUUAACCUUAUCAAGGCAGUGGAAACUACACAGCUAGAGUACGGUCGGGGUAGAAGGAAUUCCUGGUGUAGCGGUGAAAUGCGUAGAGAUCAGGAAGAACACCGGUGGCGAAAGCGUUCUGCUAGACCUGUACUGACACUGAGGAGCGAAAGCUAGGGGAGCAAACGGG
rnacentral:rRNA from 1 species